UUAGAUCAUGAGUUGGUUGGACAGAAGGAGAAGAGGAGCAGAGCAUGAGGAGGUAGUGCCUGAAUAGAAGCCAAAAGGACUGCACCACCAUUACAACUGAGUGGAUCAGUUCACAGGCUCCCAAGAGAGGCAGGGAUGGGGUUCAGCAAUGGAAGGAAGAUGGACCAAAGCAAGAGGCAGGUUGUCACAGCCAGAGUGCAGAACAGCAAGGAAUCAUCAUCAUCCUGUCAUGGGGGCACUGGGUUGCAUCCCCUCAUAAUUCUGCACCUGGGGCCAUGGCCACACACACACACACACACACACACACACACACACACACUAUGCCACUGCCAGGGGGAGUCUCUGUAAGUUCUGCAUUGUUUUAGCUGCUGACCUAGCUCUCAUAAAAGAAAUAAAAGUGCAUUAGACAACAGCAACUAAGGUGUGCCAUGCCAGGGAUGUGUGCAAAGUAAGGAAUGUGAUCAGUAAAAUAAAUCCAAAUGACUCAAUUUUUAGCAUAUUCAGUAUGAGAAAGCAGAAGUUGUCUCAAGCCACUAGCCACUCCAUAUCCCAAACAGAGUGGAGUUCAGUCAUGGACUUUUCAGUAGCACGGAGUCCAAAGUUCCCUGUCGAGGUGAAAUCUGGUGUCGGCAAAACUCAUCCCUGCCCUCGGGCUGCCCACCCCCUCGAGCUCUGGGCCACUGCCUCCCCAACAAGAAUCCCCUGGCAGAGUAAUGUAGGAAUUAAGGUAUCAACUGGUAGUUGCUGUGAAGAGCUCAGGGAGGGGAGCUGUGAGGAUAACAUUGAGUCCCCCGCCUCCCAAUUUCAAUCCCCCUAAAUUGCUUACUCUCCCAUUAGGCUGCCUACAAAUGUGGUUGCAAAAUUGGGGGGCCAUUUUUGCUCAGCUCUGCUUUUCAGCCUCUCUGUGAUAACAGGCUUUUAGUCCUCUGAUACAAGUAAUUCCACACAAUGGCUGGGAUCCAAACUCCUUCAGAUGCCUACAAAGAGUGUCUUUUAAGGUGCCUGUGUGUACACAGCAGCGCUUCCCACUUUCUUCUUCUUCCUGACAACAGGUCUUUGUGCCUCAUAGCAGGAUGUUUCUGAAGUUGCUUCAGUUUUGGAGGCAGCAACAUGGUUUAGUUUAAAAACUAAUGAGUCCCAUGACUUUUUUUUUUUGAGAAAGACCAUUUAAAAUGUUUGACCUCACUAAGGUUUAGAAAUCUUCUGAUGUGCAUUGGCCAUUGUGACAAAACUCCAGGAUAAUGAACUUGAUAGAAUCAACACAGGCUCAUGCCGGAUUGUCAGAAUAUGUCUGACAGAGUGCAUCAGAAGGCUGAUAAAUACACCACUCUCUGAUUGUAUGAAUGGUUGGAAUGUGUUAUACUUCCAGCUAAACUAAAUGUGAGUACAAUUAACAUGAAAGCUUUUAAAAAUGCCUAAUAGCAGCAAAGAACGAGUUCAAGCAGCAUCAGGACUACAGGAAAAGAGGAGGGAGACAUCAACUCUUCCUCUCCACUGUGAUCAUCCCGUUCAGACUUGCAAACAGCAGCAGGGGUGGCAAUUUUUCCAGACUAUGGCAGGGGAGGAAAGGGUUAAGCUCUUCUCUGCACUCUCUGAGCUCUUGAUGUUAGGACUCGCCUACAGCUGCUAUACCUUUUUUAUUUUUUAGAAAAGUAUUUAAAUUGCAUUCAUGCAAUUAAUGUCAUGCCUAGUUUAGCCCUUAAUCAAUGUUGAUCAGCUUGAGCACCUACACUAUAGCAUGGAGUCUGGAUUUCCCUUCCUGCUUUGAUUCUGGUAACAGAAUUAGGGUGGCACUGAUUUUGGGUUUAGUGGUCUGUGUUAGUCUUUGUUGCUGCAUAUUAGCAUGGAUUUCUGCGUACCAGGAAGUUGGGCUUGAAGCAGACAAUUAGUGGGCAGGAGUAGGAACAAUGGUCAAUUUAAGAAUUCUAGGAAGUUUCCAUUUAAAGGAUCACAAAGGCACUACCUUCUUCCAAGAUGGCAGGUUCCAAGGCCACUUACACUCUGGCACCAGUGCACUCCCACUGCUGGUGUUUGGAGCUGUGUAUACGCAAUAUUACCAACAAACCUGUAGCUUAUUGAGAAAUACUGCUGUUUGAUAUGUUUUCCCCUCAAAUUACCUUCCACCUGAUUAGAAAGCCACAUUCACUUCGCAGAUGACAACUUCAUAAAUAGGAGUUGGGGAGCUGCAGGUGUGGGAAAACCAAAUAAUGUGCACCAAGUGAAGACAUUUCUGCCUCAUCUCUGGUGUACAGAAAUGUGCAAAUGUGACCUGAAAUGCAGUCUGGGAAGGCGGCCGGGGUGGGGUUUGACCUCGCUGUGUUUUAAGCUGCUAAUGUGUACAUAGCCCAAGUCUCUUAAAGCCGGUGACUGAUGACUUAAUCCAAAUGGUUUGUUUCUCAAAUGCUUUUCUGAGUGUUUUUACUCCCCUGUUUCUAGCCAACGCUGCUAUGCAAAAUUGCCACAAGUUCUUUUCUUUUCCAAUACCUGAUGCGUUUGAUGUCCAUUUUCUCCCUCUGAAGAAAUCAAUGUCUGUAUCAGUAGAUGAAUGUAUUGGUUUUGCCUCUCCAAGACAAGCCUUUUCAAACAAGAUGGUAUAUUCUGUAGCCACGUCAUUUUAAUUAAAAAUAUACCAGGGA